rnacentral:rRNA from 1 species
GACGAACGCUGGCGGCGUGCUUAACACAUGCAAGUCGAACGGAAAGGCCCUGCUUUUGUGGGGUGCUCGAGUGGCGAACGGGUGAGUAACACGUGAGUAACCUGCCCUUGACUUUGGGAUAACUUCAGGAAACUGGGGCUAAUACCGGAUAGGAGCUCCUGCUGCAUGGGGGGGGUUGGAAAGUUUCGGCGGUUGGGGAUGGACUCGCGGCUUAUCAGCUUGUUAGUGGGGUAGUGGCUUACCAAGGCUUUGACGGAUAGCCGGCCUGGGAGGGGGACCGGCGACAUUGGGACUGCGAUACGGCCCAGAAUCCUACGGGAGGCAGUAGGGGGGAACAUUGCACAAUGGGCGGAAGCCUGAUGCAGCAACGCCGCGUGCGGGAUGACGGCUUUCGGGUUGUAAACCGCUUUCGCCUGUGACGAAGCGUGAGUGACGGUAAUGGGUAAAGAAGCACCGGCUAACUACGUG